AGGCAGCCCAAUCUCCAGGGCACGGUACACUCAGUUUAAUUGCAUUGCAGAGGCACAUGAAAAUAUAAAGAAAUACAAAAGUCUCAAUUCACGCAAUAAACGAUCAUGUCACUGGGGAAUAAAGUACGUGAUGCUACAAAUGAAGUACAUCAAGACAAAUAAAAGGUAUUUUCAUCAUGAGCCUGAUUGCAUCAAUGAAUCACACUGCUUUC